rnacentral:rRNA from 1 species
AUUGAACGCUGGCGGCAGGCUUAACACAUGCAAGUCGAGCGAGCGGCGGACGGGUGGGUAAUGUCUGGGAAACUGCCUGAUGGAGGGGGAAAACUACUGGAAACGGUAGCUAAUACCGCAUACCAUCAGAUGUGCCCAGAUGGGAUUAGCUAGUAGGUGGGGUAAUGGCUAACCUAGGCGACGAUCCAUAGCUGGUCUGAGAGGAUGACCGGCCACACUGGAACUGAGACACGGUCCAGACUCCUACGUGAGGCAGCAGUGGGGAAUAUUCCACAAUGGGCGAAAGCCUGAUGCAGCCAUGCCGCGUGUGUGAAGAAGGCUUUCGGGUUGUAAAGCACUUUCAGCGAGGAGGCGUUACUCGCAGAAGAAGCACCGGCUAACUCCGUGCCAGCAGCCGCGGUAAUUC